rnacentral:SRP_RNA from 1 species
UCCUGGUGUGGCGGCACAUGCCUACAGUCCUAGCUACUUGGGAGGCCAAGGCAGGAGGAUCGCUUGAGCCUAGACGUUAUGGGCUGUAGUGUACUAUGCCGAUUGGGUGGUUGCCUCAAGCUUGGUCUCCCAGGAGCCAGGAACCUCCAGGGUACUUGAGGGGUGAACCAGCCCAGGUGGGAGACAGAGCAGGUCAAAACUGGGAGUAGUGGGAUCGUGCCUGUGAAUAGCCACUAUACUCUAGCUUGGGCCACGCAGUGAGACCCUGUCUCU